rnacentral:rRNA from 1 species
AGCGAACGCUGGCGGCAGGCUUAACACAUGCAAGUCGAACGGGCACUUCGGUGUCAGUGGCAGACGGGUGAGUAACACGUGGGAACGUACCUUUUGGUUCGGAACAACUGAGGGAAACUUCAGCUAAUACCGGAUAAGCCCUUACGGGGAAAGAUUUAUCGCCGAAAGAUCGGCCCGCGUCUGAUUAGCUAGUUGGUAGGGUAAUGGCCUACCAAGGCGACGAUCAGUAGCUGGUCUGAGAGGAUGAUCAGCCACAUUGGGACUGAGACACGGCCCAAACUCCUACGGGAGGCAGCAGUGGGGAAUAUUGGACAAUGGGGGCAACCCUGAUCCAGCCAUGCCGCGUGAGUGAUGAAGGCCCUAGGGUUGUAAAGCUCUUUUGUGCGGGAAGAUAAUGACGGUACCGCAAGAAUAAGCCCCGGCUAACUUCGUGCCAGCCGCCGCCGUAACAC